rnacentral:rRNA from 1 species
UUGCAUGGGCGCAACUGUACCAUUUGACGCCGCGUGAGGGAUGAAGGCCUUCGGGUUGUAAACCUCUUUCAGUAGGGAAGAAGCGAAGUGACGGUACCUAAAGAAGAAGCACCGGCUAACUAUGUGCCAGCAGCCGCGGUAAUACAUAGGGUGCAAGCGUUGUCCGGAAUUAUUGGGCGUAAAGAGCUCGUAGGUCGUUGGUCACGUCGAUUGUGAAAAUCUGAGGCUCAACCUCAGACCUGCAGUCGAUACGGACUAACUAGAGUGUGGUAGGGGAGACUGGAAUUCCUGGUGUAGCGGUGGAAUGCGCAGAUAUCAGGAGGAACACCAAUGGCGAAGGCAGGUCUCUGGGCCAUAACUGACACUGAGGGGCGAAAGCGCGGGGAGCGAACAGGAUUAGAUACCCUGGUAGUCCGCGCCGUAAACGGUGGGCACUAGCUGUGGGUCCCUUCCACGGGAUCCGCGACGCAGCAAACGCAUUAAGUGCCCCGCCUGGGGAGUACGAUCGCAAGAUUAAAACUCAAAGGAAUUGACGGGGCCCCGCACAAGCAGCGGAGCAUGCGGCUUAAUUCGACGCAACGCGAAGAACCUUAACAAGGCUUGACAUAUAGCGAAAAGUGGCAGAGAUGUCAUGUCCG